AACGCAAAUUGCGCUCGAGGCUUCGGCCAAGAGCAUGUCUGCCUCAGCGUCGGGUUAAUACUCAUUCAACUAACCCAUAAUUGCGGUUAGGAGAGCGGAUCUGGCUGUCCCGGUGCAUUACUAAUCCUAAUACACCGGGGCAGCUGAAGGGGGCAGAUGUCAAACCAUGGACCGUUACAACGGGCCCCUACUGGGGAGGCAACUCGCUUGCUGAAAUGCUUUAGUAGAUGGCUUGGGUGCUGAGUUUGGCACAAAGCAGGAGUACUUGCUCGUACAAGGACGACACCCCUAGUGUCUCGACCUGAGCUCAGGCAAGAUUACCCGCUGAACUUA
rnacentral:misc_RNA from 1 species